rnacentral:rRNA from 1 species
AGUUUGAUCCUGGCUCAGGAUGAACGCUGGCGGCGUGCCUAAUACAUGCAAGUCGAGCGAACAGAUAAGGAGCUUGCUCCUUUGAAGUUAGCGGCGGACGGGUGAGUAACACGUGGGUAACCUACCUAUAAGACUGGGAUAACUUCGGGAAACCGGAGCUAAUACCGGAUAACAUUUAGAACCGCAUGGUUCUAAAGUGAAAGAUGGUUUUGCUAUCACUUAUAGAUGGACCCGCGCCGUAUUAGCUAGUUGGUAAGGUAACGGCUUACCAAGGCGACGAUACGUAGCCGACCUGAGAGGGUGAUCGGCCACACUGGAACUGAGACACGGUCCAGACUCCUACGGGAGGCAGCAGUAGGGAAUCUUCCGCAAUGGGCGAAAGCCUGACGGAGCAACGCCGCGUGAGUGAUGAAGGGUUUCGGCUCGUAAAACUCUGUUAUUAGGGAAGAACAAAUGUGUAAGUAACUGUGCACAUCUUGACGGUACCUAAUCAGAAAGCCACGGCUAACUACGUGCCAGCAGCCGCGGUAAUACGUAGGUGGCAAGCGUUAUCCGGAAUUAUUGGGCGUAAAGCGCGCGUAGGCGGUUUCUUAAGUCUGAUGUGAAAGCCCACGGCUCAACCGUGGAGGGUCAUUGGAAACUGGGAAACUUGAGUGCAGAAGAGGAAAGUGGAAUUCCAUGUGUAGCGGUGAAAUGCGCAGAGAUAUGGAGGAACACCAGUGGCGAAGGCGACUUUCUGGUCUGUAACUGACGCUGAUGUGCGAAAGCGUGGGGAUCAAACAGGAUUAGAUACCCUGGUAGUCC